rnacentral:rRNA from 1 species
GACGAACGCUGGCGGCGUGCCUAAUACAUGCAAGUAGAACGCUGAAGAGAGGAGCUUGCUCUUCUUGGAUGAGUUGCGAACGGGUGAGUAACGCGUAGGUAACCUGCCUGGUAGCGGGGGAUAACUAUUGGAAACGAUAGCUAAUACCGCAUGAUAUUAAUUGUCGCAUGAUAAUUAAUUGAAAGAUGCAAUUGCAUCACUACCAGAUGGACCUGCGUUGUAUUAGCUAGUUGGUGAGGUAACGGCUCACCAAGGCGACGAUACAUAGCCGACCUGAGAGGGUGAUCGGCCACACUGGGACUGAGACACGGCCCAGACUCCUACGGGAGGCAGCAGUAGGGAAUCUUCGGCAAUGGGGGGAACCCUGACCGAGCAACGCCGCGUGAGUGAAGAAGGUUUUCGGAUCGUAAAGCUCUGUUGUAAGAGAAGAACGGGUGUGAGAGUGGAAAGUUCACACUG